CAUGCACCGCAACUACUGAGCCUGCGCUCCAGAGCCCACAAGCCACAGCUACUGAGCCCAUGUGCCACAACUACUGAAGCCUGCGUGCCUAGAGCCCGUGCUCCACAACAGGAGAGACCACCGCAGUGAGAGGCCGGCGCACUGCAGCGAGGAGUGGCCCCCGCUCGCCACAGCUAGGGAGAGCCCCGCACAGCAACAAAGACCCAAUGCAGCCAAAAAUAAAUAAAUAAAUUUAUAUUUUAAAAAAGAUAAUUAUAUACAUACACACGUGUGCACAUAAUGUAUUUCUCUCCUUACUACUAUUAACUCAGUAAUGCAAUAGUGUAGAAAAAAAUCUAAGGCCAUGGAAAAUAUUUAAGAACAAUUUUCAAAGGUUAAAAUAAAUAUAAAAGUUAUUCAUGAAAUGGUGAUGUGUCUUUUAUACACUCCGUAGGUUUCUGCUUGCAUACACACAUGCACACAUAAACAUACUUUCAAUAAAAGCAAACUUCUGUGAAUGACAGAUCUUUUUGAAUAAGUUUUUUUAAUCUAUCAAUUUUUUACUCGUGUAUUUUAGCAUUCUUGUUAAAACAAACAUUUAUAAAUUGUACUUAAUUCUAAUUAGGUUGUUGUCAAUAUUAUUCUAUAUUUCCUAGUGUAAAAAAACUACAGAAAUUGUUUAAAAUAUAGAAAGUUUUACCUUCAAUCUCCACUAAAUAUUUAUUGUACAUAUAUGUACAAUAAAUAUAAAAAGUUCUAUUCUUUCAAAUUUUUAUAUUUGGCCAUUAACAUAAGCCAAAUAAACUUUAUGGAGGUUGCACCAGUGGAUGUGUUGGGAGCCACAUCCUUGUACCUUCUGGUAUACAGACAAAUUUUAGCACUAGGAAUCCAGUAGGAAAGUAAUCCAAUGAUAUUCAUAAUAAAAUGGUAUCACUGUGAAAGUAAUAUUGCUGUACGCACAAUGACAUCUACCAACUGGUGUGUGCUUACUUCUGCUGUUAUACCUACCUCUGCUCAUUCAAUGCCAACAGCCUAUUGCCGGUAAGACACUGAAACACAGACAGAUAUUUCUUUCUUAAUAAUUAUGUUUUCAUCGAGUGUUACAUGAUUAAGGAUAUCGUCUCGGGGGUUCCCUGGUGGUCCAGUGGCUAAGACUCCGCACUGCCAAUGCAUGGGGCCUGGGUUCAAUCCCUGGUCAGGGAACUAGAUCCCACGUGCUGCAACUAAAGCUUUCACAUGCCGCAACUAAAAAGAUCCCACGUGCCGCAACUAAGACCCGACGCAGCCAAAU
rnacentral:lncRNA from 1 species